rnacentral:lncRNA from 1 species
GCAGAGCUGGAAGCAGACAGCUGAGGGAUAAGUGUCUGAGCUUCAGAGAUGAGAUUAGAACUUGCAGACUCCUGGCACCAUGUCUAUGCUGAGUCCACAGACAAUUUAACCUCUACAGCAUUUAUUGUGCUAAUGCAUGGAAUCUGGCCAGCCAGCUGACUUGUGUACCACAACAUCUCCUGCAACACAGCUGGUGGUAGGAGCAAUUGGAUGUAUUCUGUACAGAAAGAGGAAGCGAUCAACCUUGCAAAAAAUGAUCAGAGAGCUCUAUGAGCAGCCUGCAGACAAUCUGCUUAAAGUAAGUAAAAAGUAUCAUCUCCUAACAGUCCAACUGGUUAAUUGUACACCCAAGAUGUUGUUUGUGUUAUGUACAUCACACUUAGACAUAUGCAAAUGCAUAUGUAUAAACACUUUCAGGUGCAAUUGUCUAGAGGAAAGCAAUUUGCAUCUGUGUUAU